GGCGCACGGGUGAGUAACGCGUAUGCAACCUACCUUCAACUGGGGGAUAGCCCAGGGAAACUUGGAUUAAUACCCCAUAGUAUUUAUGAAUCGCAUGGUUUAUAAAUUAAAGUUCCGGCGGUUGAAGAUGGGCAUGCGUGCCAUUAGUUAGUUGGUGAGGUAACGGCUCACCAAGACAGCGAUGGCUACGGGGUCUAAAAGGAUGGUCCCGCACACUGGUACUGAGACACGGACCAGACUCCUACGGGAGGCAGCAGUGAGGAAUAUUGGUCAAUGGGCGCAAGCCUGAACCAGCCAUGCCGCGUGCAGGAAGACGGCCCUAUGGGUUGUAAACUGCUUUUGUACGGGAAUAAUAACCACGACGUGUCGUGGGACGAAGGUACCGUACGAAUAAGCAUCGGCUAACUCCGUGCCAGCAGCCGCGGUAAUACGGAGGAUGCAGGCGUUAUCCGGAUUUAUUAGGUUUAAAGGGUGCGCAGGCGGCCCGGUAAGUCAGUGGUGAAAGUUUGCAGCUUAACUGUAAAAUUGCCAUUGAUACUGUCGGGCUUGAAUGUGGUAGAGGUAGGCGGAAUGUGUAGUGUAGCGGUGAAAUGCUUAGAUAUUACACAGAA
rnacentral:rRNA from 1 species